rnacentral:rRNA from 1 species
CAGGCCUAACACAUGCAAGUCGAACGAGACCUUCGGGUCUAGUGGCGCACGGGUGCGUAACGCGUGGGAAUCUGCCCUUGGGUUCGGAAUAACAGCGAGAAAUUGCUGCUAAUACCGGAUGAUGACGUAAGUCCAAAGAUUUAUCGCCCGAGGAUGAGCCCGCGUAGGAUUAGCUAGUUGGUGAGGUAACGGCUCACCAAGGCGACGAUCAGUAGCUGGUCUGAGAGGAUGAUCAGCCACACUGGGACUGAGACACGGCCCAGACUCCUACGGGAGGCAGCAGUGGGGAAUAUUGGACAAUGGGCGCAAGCCUGAUCCAGCCAUGCCGCGUGAGUGAUGAAGGCCUUAGGGUUGUAAAGCUCUUUUACCUGGGAAGAUAAUGAC